UGAAACUUAACUAAGACAUCCAGUGUCGCAAAGGCGAUAACAUUUGUCUACCUUGUUUUGUUGAUUUGGAGAUAUAAGGAACUAAAAUCACGCAGAGAAACUUAUAUGCUAAUAGGGCAAAUGAAACUUAACUAGGACAUUCAUUCAGUGCCGUCAUGUCUCCUUUGGAGAAAAACCUAAAUUACCAAGAAUAAAAAAACUGCUAAUUGGACAAAUCAAACUUAACUAAUUACCAAGACGGCAAUGUAUUACAAUCUGAAGAUAUGGGUGGAGAAGAAUCCACAUUGUACAAUAUUAAUAUAUAUUUUCAAAUUGUCAAAACUUGUAAAAACCCACUCGACUGCAUUUAUUACACUAGGUAAUAAACAAAAUUGAUCAACUAUAAACCCCUUUACAUGAAAAAUUGCUUAAGAUGUCUUCCUUUUUAUUUUAUUUUUCUAGCAAAAUGUAUUCCUUUCUAACAUGUUUAUAGUCAAAUUUCUAUAUUGAUUAUUCAGAUGAUAAAGUCCCAGUUAUUUACAGUUCAUUAAGAAAGAUUCAAACCACAGCAAACAGAUGAGAGUUUAGGCAAUCAAAGCCUUCAACUCUAAGCUGGUGCUUGAGUUUUUUGCCCAAGUACUAGUCUGGCCCUUGCACAUGACCUUCCCUUACAACUCGACGAAGGUGAACUGGUGAUAUAUGAUGAUAAAUAGAUUAAUUGCUUUCCAUAAUCAGCAAAGUACACGUCAUGAGUUAAAGGAUUCAUCACCCGGGGAUGAGGGGAUGAUGACAACAGGGAUGCUGAUCGCAUUGCAGCUGUGCCAUCCUGUUAAACCAUAUAGGAAUUACCAUGAAUAGUCAAUUCAGAAAGAGGAUUAUGUAUAUUUAAAUAAAAAUUUACACCAUCAAUGCAUUGCAUAUAAGUUAAACUUUCAUUAUGUAAUAGAAGCGUACAUUUGAAGCAGUGGUACGAAAAGAAAAAAAAAACACCGGCAGAUAUAGGUGUAGAAAGGACAGAAAAGGUAAGUGAGCAGUUGGUAAGCAAACAGGUGAACUCGUGGUUUCUGGUAGAGCAGCACAUUUAGUACAUUGUUGAAGUUUGAUAUCAAGAAGACAGUUAUAAACAUUUAAGGUAACGAGAACAAAUGGUUGAACACCUAUUGAGGAUACAGGGUGUAGGGGUUUAUACAUUGCGUGAUCAUUUACACAUCAAUAACUACUAUAUUUCUAUUUCCCUAUGAUUUAUGCAGAAGCACUCCACGUAUUGAUGCUUACCCUAGAUCCCAGCAUUGCACUAAGACAAUGGCAAGAACUAAUCUACUAUGAUUGGUUCUAAUAAAUCUUUACACUGUCAAUGUUUAAGACUUAUAUUCAUUAACUUAAGCAUCAAAGCUACUUUAAUUUGCAGAAACCAUGGUAGGCAGUUUGCAACACUUCACUGAACAACUCCCUUGAGGACUAAAAAACUUCCUUGAGCUGCUAGAGACUAGAUUUAUGACCUUAUUAGCUCGUAAUUCAUACAUGUAUAUGCCACUCAAAUUAAAUAGAUGCUUCAUUAAUUGAGAUUUUUGAUACAUAUACAGUAGUCUCGCACAUGUAAGAUUGCAUCUAGCUUGAAAUAAACAACCUAUAGCAGAUGUAAAUGAUGCUUUCUACAUUUACAAUUACUUAUAAUAAUAGAGACUAUAUCCCUCAUAUAACAUAUAGAUCUAUCAGAAACAACAUCUCUAUCUCUACAACAUAGACAUAAGUAUGCAUAUAGUCUAUCCUACUUCCCAGACUCUACCUGUGGAUAUGUUGUUUAGGUAAGGUUCCAAACCUUACCAAAACCCUCAUUUCUUCUAUAUUUCCCUUCUCACAUUGAAAUGUCAAAUUAAAUUUUAUACAAGGUUAUAUCAUUCAAUCCCUAAAAAUUUAGAUGAAGUCAACAUUGAUCGAUAAUAAGAAAAUCUUUCCUUUUUCUAAUUUUCCAGUAAUCUUCGUGAUCAUCAAUAUUAACAAAAGAGACUAAAGGCAGUAAGAGUAGUUUCAAAUUCAUAGAGAUUCAAAUGUACCUCUUUGACAAGGAAAUCCAAAUAUACAUCUGCUCCGGAUUUUCAACCUAAGGCAUCAACUUGAUUAGAGUGUUCCACAAUUAAAAAAAGCCCAAAUAAAAUACAAAAUAUUAACCAUUUAAUGGUCUACAAAAAAAAAUGACAAAUCUCCAGAUGGGAAUUUUCAUAAGACAUUUAGAAUUGCAAUUUACUCGAAGAGGUUUGGCAGAAGCAACAUUAAUCAUAGGAUUAGUAGCAAAAUUCAUCGUAGAAUCAGAAAUAAAUCGGACUGAAAAUUGAUUUAAUCGGCAACAACGGGAAAAAAAAAAAAAAGGGGUCCAUGGUGGACGGUGAUGAUGGAAAAGAAGAAGUAAAAAUAAAUAAUUUUCCUUACAAAAUUUUGGCUAAACUUGAUUUCC
rnacentral:lncRNA from 1 species